UACGAAGGGAACUAGCGUUGUCCGGAAUUACUGGGCGUAAAGAGCGCGUAGGCGGUUUAUUAAGUUGGGAGUGAAAUCCCGGGGCUCAACCCCGGAACUGCUUUCAAAACUGAUAGACUAGAGUGUGAUAGGGGUGAUGGAAUUCCUAGUGUAGAGGUGAAAUUCUUAGAUAUUAGGAGGAACAUCGGUGGCGAAGGCGAUCGCCUGGAUCACAACUGACGCUGAGGCGCGAAAGCGUGGGGAGCAAACAGGAUUAGAAACCCC
rnacentral:rRNA from 1 species